GUUAACUGAUGACUAGGGCUGUAGAACCCUUGGUUAUGUAUGAGACACAGACUCUUACCCUCAUUACCUAACCUUAAGUCACAUUGAGGUCUUGCCCUCCAGGUGUUUAGGAAAAGGAGUCUCUUGGCAGCCCUUAUGUAGGCCCUAGCACCCUGUCAUGCCUCUUCAACCACGUGUGUAACUCUCCAAGAGAGUUGUAUUGCCUGGGGAAAUGAGUCGGUACUAGAAAGACAUCGGUGAGACAUUUGCCUUGGACUCGCCGCUGUGCGGCUGGCUAAUCUCUUCAAGCCACCAAAGGGGCUUCUCAUACCUCCAGUUAGAUCAGACUUGACAAGAACGGAAGCAUAUGGAAAUCAAUGAGCAGGCGCUUUUUGUAAGUGCUUCUGAGAUAAUUACAGUUUGAAAGACUUCCGAAAUUAGAAUAUUUGACAGCAUAGUUCCUUGAAGGGGGCAACUUAGAAGACCAUUUUCAGAAAGGAUUUGUAGAGAAUCUGUGAACAAGCAGGUUUGCGGCCUGAGUGGGGAACCUGCUUUCAGAUUAAACUGCCCAGCCAGACACAGAGUACCCCAGACUUGGUGUGCUUGCUAGAGUCCAUAAAAAUCAGUGCUUGUUUUAGCAAAUACUCCCCACACCCAGAUACGGGGUAAGAGAAGAGUAGAGGAAAGUCAGGUGCUUUUCUCUGUGUGUGCGUGCGUGUGUGCGUGUGUGCGUGCGUGCGUGCGUGCGUGCGUGUGUGUGUGUGCGCGUGUGCGCGAGUGAUUGUGUGUUGGUGUGCGUGCAUAUAUGAGGGCUAAGGUGCAUGAUUUUUUCUUUCUCAAGGAUCAUGGCAGGAUCACAGAACUCUUAUCCAAGUGAGAUCCAGGUCUCUGAAUAUCUUUUUGUAAAUAAUAAUUAAAAGCUCCUCACCAAAUUCAAGCUUGUAUAUUAUAUUUUCUUUCAAUGUUUUUAAAUUUAAGUUUUAUUGUUUUGUAUGUAAAUAUGUGGACCCAGGAACUGUUAUUAAUGAGCAAAAAGUUACUGUUCAGGGCAGUGAUUCUGUUUAAUAACCAGACAAAAAUGUAG
ensembl:lncRNA